rnacentral:rRNA from 1 species
UUAAAGGUAAGUUCNNCCCUAUGAUUGAUUUUAAAUGGCUGCAGUAUUUUGACUGUGCAAAGGAAGCAUAAUAAUUAGUCUUUUAAUUGAAGGCUUGUAUGAAUGAAUAAAUGNGAAGUUUAUUUUUUUAUUUUUAUGAUUUGAAUUUAAUUUUUAAGUAAAAAAGCUUAAUUGUUUUUCUGGGACGAUAAGACCCUAUAGAAUUUUAAUUUUUAUUUAAUAUUUAUAUUUUAGUUUAUUUAAUAUUUAAUAUUUAAUAUAUAUUUUGGUUGGGGNGAUUAAUAAAUAUGACUUUAUUUUUUUUA